CCUACGGGAGGCAGCAGUGGGGAAUAUUGGACAAUGGGGGGAACCCUGAUCCAGCCAUACCGCGUGUGUGAAGAAGGCCCUCGGGUUGUAAAGCACUUUCAGUGAGGAAGAACGCCUGGUGGUUAAUACCCAUCAGGAAAGACAUCACUCACAGAAGAAGCACCGGCUAACUCCGUGCCAGCAGCCGCGGUAAUACGGAGGGUGCGAGCGUUAAUCGGAAUUACUGGGCGUAAAGCGCGCGUAGGUGGCUUGAUAAGCCGGUUGUGAAAGCCCCGGGCUCAACCUGGGAACGGCAUCCGGAACUGUCAAGCUAGAGUGCAGGAGAGGAAGGUAGAAUUCCCGGUGUAGCGGUGAAAUGCGUAGAGAUCGGGAGGAAUACCAGUGGCGAAGGCGGCCUUCUGGACUGACACUGACACUGAGGUGCGAAAGCGUGGGUAGCAAACAGGAUUAGAUACCCUGGUAGUC
rnacentral:rRNA from 1 species